UCCGCAGUGGUGUAGUGGUAACAUACGACCUUGCCAAGGUUGUGUUGCGAGUUCGAUUCUCGUCUGCGGGAC
rnacentral:tRNA from 1 species